UACGGAGGAUCCGAGCGUUGUCCGGAUUUACUGGGCGUAAAGGGAGCGUAGGCGGACUUUUAAGCGAGAUGUGAAAUACCCGGGCUCAACUUGGGUGCUGCAUUUCAAACUGGAAGUCUAGAGUGCAGGAGAGGAGAAUGGAAUUCCUAGUGUAGCGGUGAAAUGCGUAGAGAUUAGGAAGAACACCAGUGGCGAAGGCGAUUCUCUGGACUGUAACUGACGCUGAGGCUCGAAAGCGUGGGGAUCAAACAGGAUUAGAUACCCCGGUAGU
rnacentral:rRNA from 1 species